AGAAUCAACGCUGGCGGCGUGCCUAAUACAUGCAAGUCGAACGCCAAAGCCCCGCAAGGGGCAAGUAGCGUGGCAAACGGGUGAGUAACGCGUGGGCGACCUGCCUUCGAGUGGGGGAUAACCUUCCGAAAGGAGGGCUAAUACCGCAUGAUAUGCCGUGUUUGGAUACACGGACAUCAAAGCUGGGGAUCGCAAGACCUGGCGCUUGAAGAGGGGCCUACGUCCGAUUAGCUAGUUGGUGGGGUAACGGCCUACCAAGGCGACGAUCGGUA
rnacentral:rRNA from 1 species